rfam:Cyberlindnera jadinii NRRL Y-1542 unplaced genomic scaffold CYBJAscaffold_1, whole genome shotgun sequence.
UUCAAAAGGAGAUCAACCCCAAAAGGUUGAUUCUCAUGGGUGUUUGAACCACUCGGCGUAAACAGGUGGGAAAUUCGGUGGUACACUCCGUCCAACUUCUAAUUUACUCUUGAGAGUAUCCAGGCGAGGAAAUUGCCGGGCUGUGGCCAUAAGAAAUUAAGCCCAGGGGGGAUUUCCCUCCUGGACAUGGGAGCGCUACACAGGACGGUUGGCUAGUUUGAGCUGGCUAUUGAGUGCAAUAUACAGAUCAUCACCUCGGUGGUGGAACGCGAUACCGAUUACUUCUUGGA